AUUGAACGCUGGCGGCAGGCCUAACACAUGCAAGUCGAAUGGUAACAGGAAACAGCUUGCUGUUUCGCUGACGAGUGGCGGACGGGUGAGUAAUGUCUGGGAAACUGCCUGAUGGAGGGGGAUAACUACUGGAAACGGUAGCUAAUACCGCAUAACGUCGCAAGACCAAAGAGGGGGACCUUCGGGCCUCUUGCCAUCAGAUGUGCCCAGAUGGGAUUAGCUAGUAGGUGGGGUAACGGCUCACCUAGGCGACGAUCCCUAGCUGGUCUGAGAGGAUGACCAGCCAGACUGGAACUGACACACGGUCCAGACUCCUACGGGAGGCAGCAGUGGGGAAUAUUGCACAAUGGGCGCAAGCCUGAUGUAGCCAUGCCGCGUGUAUGAAGAAGGCCUUCGGGUUGUAAAGUACUUUCAGCGGGGAGGAAGGGAGUAAAGUUAAUACCUUUGCUCAUUGACGUUACCCGCAGAAGAAGCACCGGCUAACUCCGUG
rnacentral:rRNA from 1 species